UUUGGCUACCGUGGAUAUGUGUU
rnacentral:miRNA from 1 species